rnacentral:tRNA from 1 species
GACAAAUUUUGGGCAGGUCUUCUAAACUUGUUUUGGGUUAGAACCCGUUUGUUU